rnacentral:rRNA from 1 species
AACGAACGCUGGCGGCAGGCCUAACACAUGCAAGUCGAGCGAGGUAGCAAUACCUAGCGGCGGACGGGUGAGUAACGCGUGGGAACGUACCCUUUGCUACGGAAUAGCCCCGGGAAACUGGGAGUAAUACCGUAUGUGCCCUUCGGGGGAAAGAUUUAUCGGCAAAGGAUCGGCCCGCGUUGGAUUAGGUAGUUGGUGGGGUAAUGGCCUACCAAGCCGACGAUCCAUAGCUGGUUUGAGAGGAUGAUCAGCCACACUGGGACUGAGACACGGCCCAGACUCCUACGGGAGGCAGCAGUGGGGAAUCUUAGACAAUGGGCGCAAGCCUGAUCUAGCCAUGCCGCGUGAGUGAUGAAGGCCUUAGGGUUGUAAAGCUCUUUCAGAUGGGAAGAUAAUGACGGUACCAUCAGAAGAAGCCCCGGCUAACUCCGUGCCAGCAGCCGCGGUAAAGUCAGUG